GAUGAACGCUGGCGGCGUGCCUAAUACAUGCAAGUCGAGCGGAGGAUGUAGCAAUACGUUCUUAGCGGCGAACGGGUGAGUAACGCGUUGGUGACCUGCCUCGAAGCGCGGGAUAACAGUUCGAAAGGACUGCUAAUACCGCAUGUGGUUGUGGAGAUCAGAGGCUCUGCAACUGAAGGAGAAAUUCACUUCGAGAGGGGCCUGCGUCCCAUCAGCUAGUUGGUAAGGUAAAGGCUUACCAAGGCGAUGACGGGUAGGGGACCUGAGAGGGUGGCCCCCCACACUGACACUGAAACACGGGUCAGACACCUACGGGUGGCUG
rnacentral:rRNA from 1 species